UUUAUAAAGAUGACUAUUACCUUUUUAAACAAUUUUUAAGAAGGAAUAUGAGUAUUUAACAAAAGAUAUUGUAUGACGAAACUGUCAAAAUACUGUAGUCAGUGUAAACUACCCAGAAGGCACUUAUGUCAGCAUCAGGAAAUCAACUUCCUGUUUAUGCAAAAAUGGCUGCCACAUUAACAGACGCUUAAACAAUGAGACUUUUAAAAAGGAUACUACAAAUAAUAAAGAAGCGCAAAAGGUAGGCAUCGGCUGUUAUCAGCUCUAACUUCCACACAGCAUCCAAUAAAAGCAUUAAAUAACAGUGACAUAGUCAUUUAGAUGCAAAACAUAAACGGUAAAAAUGAACAAUGUACAUGAACAUAAACACAUGUUUUCAUAAACAAUCUAGGGCAUGACAAUACAUUUUUAGGGCAGGUGUAAUGAAAGUAAAUGCCCGUGUACUUAACUUGUAAGCAAUACGCUGAAUUGAUUUUGGGGCUUAGGCUUAAUGCGAACACAAAAUGAUACUUGAUAGUUUCUCAUGGAAUGACCAGCUAUUGCAUGUAUGUCAAAUUAUUUUCAAAGUCCAAUGAGGUUUUAGUUCUUUGGUAGGUGAUAUGUGUAUAGGAAAGACGUUUGUAAAAUACAUGUGUGCGAUUUUUCAAUAGUUAUAGAUAUUUGGGUAGCGGGCCUGCACUUAUAUAAAUAUAUAUGUUUUUGUAAUAUAUUCGAUGUAUCUGGAUUAUAAGUAGAUUGUUAAAUGUUGGUGAUUUCAUAAAUCUGUAUUCAGCUACUAUUCAAAGUAUCGAUUACAUACCAGACUAGAGCGGAUGGUUUUUGUUAUAAUGAUUUGUUACAAUAAUUAAUAUUUACUAACACGUGACAUUGCUUUAUUCAUAAAGUGUAUGCAUUAAAGACGAUGUAUCUAUGUAUAAGUCUGAAUUAACUGUAUGUUCUGUUCUGUUUUUGUUAUCACUGUAUUUCGGAUAAUUUAUGAUUUUGUGUGUGAAUAUAGACCGUAGGUCUUGCUAUGAAUGAAAUGGUCAUAUGAAACACGACCGUAUUUAUCUAUACAGAUACACAUUUUAUGUUUUAUAAUGUCGUUGUUAUAAUAUAAUUGAAACAUCAAACAGGCACUAUACAAAACGUAUAAUAUAAAGCGUCAAAAAGAUCAAGUAUACUCAUAAUUGUAUUGUCUUGAUUGUAAGAAUUUCACCUUCAAAUGUCAUUUGCACUGGAUGCAUUCGUUCAAUGCAUUCGAUGCAUUCGAUGCAUUCAUUCCGAAAUAUUGGGAAAGUACGGAUGCAUUUCUUACAGAAAAAUAACUGCUUAAUAGCGAGUAAAAUGCAAAUAUUUCGGUUAUUUGUCACAAUUAUUAAUGUCCUAUUUUUAAGGUUUCCAGAUAAUAGAAUACAGGUAGAAUUCCUAGGAGGGAGUUAUGUAUUAACAUGUAUAUAUUAUGGGCCUAGCAAACGUUGUAAGUUCAUGAAACACAUAUAAUUUAUUUUGUGGUGUGAAUAUCUGUGUAUUUUAGACUUGAGGUCCAUGUUUCCACUUCAUUAAAUUGAUUUUUUAAUGUUUGUAUUCGUAUAUAUAGUUGUAUUGUUAUAAAUGAAUGAUAAGUUAUAUUUAAAGCUUAAGCUUUUUUCAUUGUAUAUGUAUAUUACAUAUAUAUCUGUAUUAUCUAUGUUGCAUAUAUAUUUUUUCAUUCUUAUACAAAUUGAUCUUGUAGUCUUUUAGUGUUUAACUGUUUUCAACGUCGCGUGUGAAUGGAUGUGUAUUUAGCAUAUAGCCAAAGCCAAGUUGUCCUAAGUUGAUUUCAAAGCUUGGCAACAUAGAUUAUUUUUCUUACAAUUUAAAUUUGUUAAAAUAUUCAUAUGUUUCAAUUAACGCUUGGUAUAAUAAUUAAAUUUUGUUGUUGACAAUUUUCAUGUUAUAACUAAUUAUUAUCACAAUUGUCAUAAAAUGUCCAAAAUCUCAGAACCAUAUAGUAGGAUUAGCGUUAUUACUCUAUCGAAUAGAACUAGUUUGGUUUUGACAGCUCAUUUGACAAAGCUUAAAAUAGAUGCACUGUGAUGAAAUGCUCUAAACGCUGUGAUGAAAUGCUCUAAACGCUUGUUCAUUUAAUAUUUUUACAGUAUGAGACAUAUUUCCAGUAUACUGGAAAUUUAUACCUAGGUGCACAAAACAAUUAAACAUGUUAUAACACUCGUUAUUUAUUGAACGCGAAUAGUUGAUGUUGCUUUAACGUGUUUCAAACAUGCAUGAUUUCUUUUGAUUUUUAUGCCCCCAUUUCGAAGAAAAGGGGGUAUAUAGUUUUCGCACUGUCCGUCGGUCGGUCGGUCAGUCAGUCGGUCGGUCGGUCGGUCACACUUCGUGUCCGCUCUCUAAUUCAAAUAGUUUUCAUCCGAUCUUUACCAAACUUGGUCAGAAGUUGUAUCCAGACAAUAUCUAGGUCAAGUUCGAAUAUGGGUCAUGCCGGAUCAAAAACUAGGUCACGGGGUCACUUAGUGCAUUUCAAGGAUUUAGCAUGGUGUCCGCUCUCUAAUUGAAGUAGUUUUCAUCUGAUCUUUACUAAACUUGGUCAGAAGUUGUAUCAAGACAAUAUCUACGUCAAGUUUGAAUAUGGGUCAUGCCGGGUCAAAAACUAGGUCACUGGGUCACUUAGUGCAUUUCAAGGAUUUAGCAUGGUGUCCGCUCUCUAAUUGAAGUAGUUUUCAUCUGAUCUUUACUAAACUUGGUAAGAAGUUGUAUUAAGACAAUAUCUAGGCCAACUUCGAAUAUGGGUCAUGCCGGGUCUAAAACUAGGUCACGGGGUCACUUAGUGCAUUUCAAGGAUUAAGCAUGUUGUGCGCUCUCUAGUUUAUGUGACUUUCUGAUUUAUUUUGAUAUUCUAAGACAUUUUUAUGCCCCCAAAGGAGGGCAUAUAGUGAUCGGACUGUCCGUUUGUCUGUUCGUCCGUCUGUCCGUCACACUUUGCGUUUAGAUUUCGAAAAAUGCUCAUAACUUCUAUGUCGCUUCAGAUAGCAAUUUCAUAUUUGGCAUGCAUGUGUAUAUGGACAAGGCCUUUCCAUACGCACACAAAUUUUUACCCCUGUGACCUUGACCUUUAACUUAGGGUCCGCGUUUAGGUUCGAAAUCUGCGUUUAGGAUUUGAAAAAAGCUAAUAACUUCUACCAAGCGUUUACACAGUUAUAUUUUUAUGUAGUGACAAAGUUACAGUUGGGGGCAUCCGUGUCCUGUGGACACACUUCUUGUUACUUUAAGAACCCAUUUAGAAGAGCAAAGGUUAUAUAUCGUUAAGUUUGUUCGGAAGGUUUACUGGGACAGUAGUAAAUAAAACAAUAUCAUCAACAAAUAACAGCAUAUGAACCGAAAGCAAAUGCAAAUCGUCAUUUGUAAAAUGUUGAAGAUGAAUACAAUGUUUAAAAUCAUUUAUAUACAAUAUAAAAUAUAAGCGUUGACAUGAAUCUCCCUUGUUUGACACUAAGAGAGACACGGAAGAAGUCGAAAUAUGACGUAUCCUGAGUGUUUUGUGUAUACAAGAGCUUAGGCUUCCGCAAAAGUACAUUUUGUAUAAUGCUGUAUAAAAUAAAAAUAAAAUCGGU